GCUAGGUGCAGUGGCGCACACCUGUAGUCCUAGCUACUUGGGAGGCUGGGGCAGGAGGAUCACUUGAGCCCAGGAGGUCGAGGCUGCAGUGAGCUAUGAUCAUGCCACUGCAGUCCAGCCUGGGCAACAAAGUAAGCUCCUGUCUCAA
ensembl:misc_RNA Metazoa_SRP Metazoan signal recognition particle RNA